rnacentral:rRNA from 1 species
UACGUAGGGUCCGAGCGUUGUCCGGAAUUAUUGGGCGUAAAGAGCUCGUAGGCGGCGUGUCGCGUCUGCUGUGAAAGACCGGGGCUUAACUCCGGUUCUGCAGUGGAUACGGGCAUGCUAGAGGUAGGUAGGGGAGACUGGAAUUCCUGGUGUAGCGGUGAAAUGCGCAGAUAUCAGGAGGAACACCGGUGGCGAAGGCGGGUCUCUGGGCCGAUACUGACGCUGAGGAGCGAAAGCGUGGGGAGCGAACAGG